UACAGAGGUCUCAAGCGUUGUUCGGAUUCAUUGGGCGUAAAGGGCGCGUAGGCGGCUUUGCGUGUCUUUCGUGAAAUCCCUCGGCUCAACUGAGGACGUGCGGAAGAAACUGCAGGGCUGGAGUCCGGGAGAGGAGGGUGGAAUUCCCAGUGUAGCGGUGAAAUGCGUAGAUAUUGGGAGGAACACCGGUGGCGAAGGCGGCCCUCUGGACCGGUACUGACGCUGAUGCGCGAAAGCGUGGGGAGCAAACGGG
rnacentral:rRNA from 1 species